AUGAAAGUCACAUUUGAUGGCAAGAUGAUCCUGUACCCAACUAGGAGAGCUUCUGCAGCUCUCAUGAAUCGAUUCUGUUCCCCUCAACUGACCAGAAAGGUAUGUUGUUGCAUCAUUGAUAAAGCAACAGAAUUUCAUAGCACCUUGGUUCAGGAUCUGUGUGUAAGUUAAAGGUGAUGGAGAUAUCACCAAAGACAUUAAAAAAAAAGCCUCAUCGGUAGUCUAUAAUGGCUUGCAUUACAAAAUUAAAACAAAAUCAAUAAGUAUUAAUGUCCGACUUCUACAUCUUUUUGAAAUUUUAUAAAAAUGGCUGGGUGUUUUCCUGUUUAAUUCAGCAAACUCCUUUACUAUGAAUAAAUAUCAAUAUUACCAAAUUAAUUCAAGAAACCCUUAUAGAUACUUGCUUUAAAAAAUACUUUUGCAGAAAAUAGUUUUUACUUAACGAAGAUUUCUCUCAUACCCUACAGUAGCAAUUAUUUAACAUGCUAGAUAGUUCUUGAAAUUGACUUUGGCUCUUCUUUUUUAAAGAGAGUAUUACUACAUCAUUCAGGUAGGAAGAAUGUGAUUCAGGGGAAAAUAUUUCACAAGUUAAUUGAUUUUUAUAUAAUAAUUAAAACUAAGUUCUCACCAAUAGGAUAAUACUGUAAGUAGAUAGACCAAAAGUCUUGUUUGCUAGAGAGAAUCUAGAUUUAUUCCUAUUGUGAGAGAGUGGUCAACAGAGACCCCUUUUAUUCACAAAGGUUUACAUUUGGAUGAUAAACCUGUAAACCAAAGUAAUAGAUUUCUAAAUGAGGAUGUCCCAUAUUCAGAGUAUGUCAGAGUGGGAUAUUACUUGGCAGUAAGUUCCCAUUUGUUCUACAGAGGGAGACACUGAGGAACAGGAUUUCAUUCUGAAAAGAAUCUAAGACUCAAACCUAAAUAUUCAGAUAACUCUUCUGUGUCUUUUCCAGUAAAAUACUUUUAAACUUUUCAUUAAAAAUUUAAAAAGUAUAAGGUCCACUUGCAUAGUGACUUUUUUGAUUUAAUAAUUUAUUUUUAUCUCCAUAGUUUGUUCUAAAUAAAAUAAAAAUGUCAAGUUAAUUCAUUACAAAAUAUUUAAUCUCCUGAAUUGAUGAAAUUAAGAAUGAUCUAGUAAUCACAUUAAUCAGUUCAUUCUCACAUCAACCUUCUGAGUUAGGUAGUAACAUUUUAUAGACAAGGAAACAGAUCUGGAGAGGUGAAGUAUGUUAAGAGGACACACAAAUAAGAAGUUGGGGAUAGACUCAAUAUGCAAAGAUGGCUGGAUGCAAGAGCCUUCAGGACGUACUGACUUAUGUAAGCACAACCUAGACAUAAACUUUAAAGCCUAAGACAUGCUGUUCAUUUUUAUAUCAUUCUAGAAAUAUGUUUGAUGCCAAAAUACAUUCCUAUGGACAGAAAAUGACCGAACUCUUUAAUAGUCACUCCUAUGUUUUUAAUGUUUUCAUUUACAUUUUAUUGUUCCAUUUUAUGUUCCUCAUUUUUUUUAAAACAUGGCUGGAUUUAAAUAAUUCACAGAACAAUAAGUCAUGUUGAUGCAGAGUGAUCAAUUAGCACACUUCAUAAACAAACACACUGGGAAUUCAGACAUAAGAUAGCUAGCCUUGGAGUAUUCUUUAUUAGAGAGUGAAAACCAGUUAAUGGAUCAACAUGUAAAUCUUCAGUGUUGUAUGAUGAAUAACAUUUAAGCAUCAAGUCUUUGAGAAUCAACUUUAGGAAAUGUGUUGAGACCCAAUUUUAGGAAUUAAUGAAAAGUAAACUUUGGAACUUACCCCAAGGCCUGAAGUUGCCCUGCAAAAGAAAAAGCUACUGAUAAGACAUGAACCAAACAAACAAACAAAAAUCAUUUAAUUAAUUAAUUAAUUAAAGAAUUAAUUAAUAGUCAUUGACUUCUUUUACCAUAGAUUCUCUAUUUAAAAUCCUUGAUAUAGAUAAUAAAUUAUGUUCCACAUCAUAAAUUUUUUAUGAGGUUAGAUAGGAUACUAUAGGCAAUGGAGCAUUUUAAGUUAAGGUAAUCUUUAAUGAUUCAAGUAGAUUCCUCACCAUUUCAUAAGUUUUUACCAAAAUUUCAUGGAAAAUAAAUUAAUACUAUUUUAAGCAUACAUGGAAUCAAAAUAUAGUUUUAGUAUUGCUAUUUUUUAAUAUUCUUUUAGUGAAUGUUAAUUCAGAAGAAUCUUUUACACUUCCAAAAAGUAUACAUAUUUUAUGGCCUAUAAGUGAAAUGCUUUCUGAUAUUAGGUAGAUACAAGUACAAGAUUCAUAGUAUUUAAAAAGCAAAAGAAUCCCUUUCUCAUUUCAGUAUUCAUACUUUCAGAACGAUUCCUUGAUUUCACAUAAUAGCCUCUGUUUUAGGUUUUCUGAAAGGAAAUCUGUAUGUGCUGUUAAAAAAAAGUUUUAUUUUUCAAAAGACUAAUUAAACCAAAAUAAAGUUUACCAAGUUCCAUAAUAUUCCUCACUGAGCUGACUAGUCACCCUCUUUACCCAGGGGUAUAAAGAAAACAAAGUGCAGAGGGGGGAA
ensembl:lncRNA